AACGCUAGCUACAGGCUUAACACAUGCAAGUCGAGGGGCAGCAUGAAUUUACUUCGGUAGAUUUGAUGGCGACCGGCGCACGGGUGCGUAACGCGUAUCCAACCUUCCCGUUACUCCGGGAUAGCCUUCCGAAAGGGAGAUUAAUACCGGAUGGUGUUCAAGUGGUGCAUAUUAUUUGAACUAAAGAUUUAUCGGUAACGGAUGGGGAUGCGUACCAUUAGAUAGUAGGCGGGGUAACGGCCCACCUAGUCUACGAUGGUUAGGGGUUCUGAGAGGAAGGUCCCCCACACUGGAACUGAGACACGGUCCAGACUCCUACGGGAGGCAGCAGUGAGGAAUAUUGGUCAAUGGCCGGGAGGCUGAACCAGCCAAGUAGCGUGAAGGAUGAAGGUUCUAUGGAUUGUAAACUUCUUUUAUACGGGAAUAGCACCAUCUACGUGUAGAUGUCUGCAUGUACCGUAUGAAUAAGCAUCGGCUAACUCCGUGCCAGCAGCCGCGGUAAUACGGAGGAUGCGAGCGUUAUCCGGAUUUAUUGGGUUUAAAGGGAGCGUAGACGGGAUGUUAAGUCAGUUGUGAAAUGCUGUGGCUCAACCAUAGCACUGCAGUUGAUACUGGCGUUCUUGAGUGCGUAUGAGGUAUGUGGAAUUCGUGGUGUAGCGGUGAAAUGCUUAGAUAUCACGAAGAACUCCGAUUG
rnacentral:rRNA from 1 species